GACGAACGCUGGCGGCGUGCUUAACACAUGCAAGUCGAACGGAAAGGCCCUGCUUUUGUGGGCUUCUCGAGUGGCGAACGGGUGAGUAACACGUGAGUAACCUGCCCUUGACUUUGGGAUAACUUCAGGAAACUGGGGCUAAUACCGGAUAGGAGCUCCUGCUGCAUGGUGGGGGUUGGAAAGUUUCGGCGGUUGGGGAUGGACUCGCGGCUUAUCAGCUUGUUGGUGGGGUAGUUGCUUACCAAGGCUUUGACGGGUAGCCGGCCUGAGAGGGUUACCGGCCACAUUGGGACUGAGAUACGGCCCAGACUCCUACGGGAGGCAGCAGUGGGGAAUAUUGCACAAUGGGCGGAAGCCUGAUGCAGCAACGCCGCGUGCGGGAUGACGGCCUUCGGGUUGUAAACCGCUUUCGCCUGUGACGAAGCGUGAGUGACGGAAAUGGGUAAAGAAGCACCGGCUAACUACGUG
rnacentral:rRNA from 1 species